rnacentral:misc_RNA from 1 species
AACGUCAUCCCCACCUUCCUCCAACUUAUCACCGGCAAUCUGUUCAGGGUUCCAAACUCAACGAUGGUAACUAAACACGAGGGUUGCGCUCAUUGCGGGACUUAACCCAACACCGUUCGGCACGAGCUGACAACAGCCAUGCACCACCUGUGUCCGCAUUCCCGAAGGCACCCCUCUCUUUUAAGAGGAUUCACGGCAUGUCAAGCCGUGGUAAGUUUCUUUGCUUUGCAUCGAAUUAAACCACAUGCUCCACUGCUUGUGCGGGGCCCCGUCAAUUCCAUUGAGUUUCACUCUUACGAACAUACUCCCCAGACGGGAUACUUAACGCGUUAGCAAUAGCACUGCAUGGGUUGAUACGCACAGCACCGAGUAUCCAUCGUUUACAGCUAGCACUACUAGG